GAUGAAGAACGCAGCGAAAUGCGAUAAGUAGUGUGAAUUGCAGAAUUCAGUGAAUCAUCGAAUCUUUGAACGCACAUUGCGCCCUUUGGUAUUCCUUAGGGCAUGCCUGUUCGAGCGUCAUUUAAACCUUCAAGCUCAGCUUGGUGUUGGGUGACUGUCCGCUUCACCGCGGACUCGCCUCAAAAUUAUUGGCGGCCGGUACAUUGGCUCUCGAGCGCAGUAGAAACGCGUAACUCGAGGUCCUCGUGCUGGCUCCCAGAAGCUAUCUUCACAAUUUUGACCUCGGAUCAGGUAGGGAUACCCGCUGAACUUAAGCAUAUCAAUUAGCGGAGGA
rnacentral:misc_RNA from 1 species